rnacentral:rRNA from 1 species
CCUACGGGUGGCAGCAGUGAGGAAUAUUGGUCAAUGGACGCAAGUCUGAACCAGCCAAGUAGCGUGCAGGAUGACGGCCCUCCGGGUUGUAAACUGCUUUUAGUUGGGAAUAAAAGGGGGCUCGUGAGACCCGUAUUGUAUGUAACAUCAGAAACAGGACCGGCUAAUUCAGUGCCAGCAGAAGCGGUAAUACGGAGGGUCCGGGCGUUAUCCGGAUUUAUUGGGUUUAAAGGGAGCGUAGGCAGGCUUUUAAGUUAGCUGUGAAAGUCCGCGGCUCAACCGUGGAAUUGCAGUUUAACAUGGAGGCCUUGAGUGCACACAGGGAUGCCGGAAUUCAUGGUGUAGCGGUGAAAUGCUUAGAUAUCAUGAAGAACUCCGAUCGCGAAGGCAAGUGUCCGGGGUGCAACUGACGCUGAGGCUCGAAAGUGCGGGUAUCAAACAGGAUUAGAUACCCGGGUAGUC